rnacentral:rRNA from 1 species
GAGACUCUGUGCGCGUGCAUAUCAAUAAGCGGAGGAAAAGAAACUAACAAGGAUUCCCCUAGUAACGGCGAGUGAAGCGGGAAGAGCUCAAAUUUGAAAUCUUAAAGGGUUUCCCUUUACGAAUUGUAGUUUAAAGAAGUGUUUUCUGUUGGAGUUUCGGUAAAAGUUCUUUGGAAUAGGACAUCAUAGAGGGUGAGAAUCCCGUAUUUGAUCGUUACUUUCCAGCUGUGUGAUACACUUUCAAAGAGUCGGAUUGUUUGGGAAUGCAGUCCAAAAUGGGUGGUAAAUUUCAUCUAAAGCUAAAUAUUGGCGAGAGACCGAUAGCGAACAAGUACCGUGAGGGAAAGAUGAAAAGAACCUUGAAAAGAGAGUUAAACAGUACGUGAAGUUGUCAAAAGGGAAGCGUUUGACACCAGUGUUGUUUAGUUGAAAAUCAAUUAAAUAAUAUUUGAUUUUAAGUUAGUAUUGACUUCAUCAGCUUGCUGCCUUUUUUCAUUGGACUUAUUUGAAUGCACUUUUCGGUUAACAAGUCAACAUCAAUUUCUUUUGUUGUAAAAAGGGUCAGAUGGAAGGUGGCUUUCUUUUCGGAGAAAGUGUUUAUAGCCUUUGACUCCUGCAAUCGGAGAGACUGAGGUCUGCAGCGUAGAUCCUUCUUGGAUUAGAUUCAUUAGUGCUAAGUUAUAGCUUUUUAUAGACAACUUGUUGACUAUAUUUAGUCUUGUAACUUACUCGCUUAUGUAAUUUUACCUACGCUUAGGAUGUUGAAUCUGUGCGAGACUAC